rnacentral:lncRNA from 1 species
GCCACAUUGUGCUGCAGCGUGGCGGAUGUCUCGAUGAAUUUACAGUCGAACACCACAGCGCAGGCGCGGCCCUCUGAGGGGGCGGGGCCCGGCGAGGAGGGGUGGAGCCAUAACGGAAGGCGGAGAAAAAGUGCCAUACCAGUUUCUCGGCCUCCCAGGUGUCCACGACCACCAGUGUGGUGUCUUCUCCAUCCACCGUGAGGGUCCUCUCAUAUACAUCUUCUGCAACCGAGGGAAGAGCUGGAUCUCAGGGAGGACGGGCAAGCCUGAGAGAGUGUGGUGUUCCCUACCCCCCAUUUCUGGUCAUAUCGCCCCCUCCACUUGUCCUCGGAAACGCUUAUCACACUUGUUUGAUGCCUGUCUCCUCUGGUAGGAACCCAU